GACGAACGCUGGCGGCGUGCUUAACACAUGCAAGUCGAGCGGGUAAGGCCCUUUCGGGGGUACGACGAGCGGCGAACGGGUGAGUAACACGUGGGUGACCUGCCCUCAGCUCUGGGAUAGGCCCGGGAAACUGGGUCUAAUACCGGAUAUGACUCCAUGACGCAUGUUGUGGGGUGGAAAGCCUUGUGCGGCUGAGGAUGGGCCCGCGGCCUAUCAGCUUGUUGGUGGGGUGAUGGCCACCAAGGCGACGACGGUAGCCGGCCUGAGAGGGCGACCGGCCACACUGGGGACUGAGAUACGGCCCAGACUCCUACGGGAGGCAGCAGUGGGGAAUCUUGCGCAAUGGGCGAAAGCCUGACGCAGCGACGCCGCGUGAGGGAUGACGGCCU
rnacentral:rRNA from 1 species